GGUUGUAGCUAAAGGGGAGAGCCUCUGCCUAGCAUGCAGAAGGUCCCAGGUUCAAUCCCCAGCAUCGCCA